rnacentral:sRNA from 1 species
UUAGAUCAAUUAAUCCUAAAGCACUAUCAUGUCGUUGUAGUACUGAAGGUUGUCAAUCCAAAUGGGUGUGAUGCUAACAAUCAAGAUGUGAUCAGAAGUCACUAAGUCAAGCCAAACAAUAACAAGUUUUGGUGUGUUCUAGCAGUUCUAAGUUUACAUGCAGAAAACAGAAAUUCAAGCAGAAACAUUAAAACACUCGACCAACACAGCUCUUUGCAGAGCACUGGGUGAGGUCGAGUAACAGACAUAAAAUAAAACACAGAUACUCGACUGCACAGUCUGUUGGCAGACAACUAGGUGGUCGAGUAUUAGGUCGAGUAACAAGAAAGAAUUGUAGAAAUUAAGCAACAAAUAACAAGAUGCAGUAAACAACAAUAGAGUAAACAAAGAAUUCAAUCAGAUAAAGAAUUCCCGAGGAUGGGGGAAUU